GCUUUCUCUCUGUUCAUCAGGUGCCGCCAGUGAGCACAUGACAAUCCGGGUCUCUGUCUCUCUUCCAGCAGCUGAAGUGGCAGGCCGGGCUGAGCAGGCGGCUCUCUGACGGGUGUGCCGCCUGCGUCCACCGGCCACCUCGCACGCCCUCCUGUCUGGCGCUGUGUGCACCAGAGUCCUGGUCCUUGAUCUGGCUGGAGGGGAGUGAUCUUGCCCCCAGGGAUUCUGCAAUGUCUGAGGACAUCUUUGGUUGUCACUAUGAGAAGUGCUCCUGGCACUGGUGGGUUUUGGCGGGGGAGGUGCUAAUCACCCUACAAUGCAUGGGACAGGCGCCCCCACAGCAGUCUCCAGCCCCAAAUGUCAGCCAUGCCGAGACGAGCAGCCCUGUUCUCUGGUAAUGGAACACUGACCUUGGACUAUGGCUGCCACAAAAACAGUAUACCUCUGGCUUCCUGCAGCAGGUACAGCCACGUGACCACGUUCUGACCAAGGGAGGGCCAGCAGAGGCAGGUUCCAGGUGGAGCACCUGUGAUGGGGGAUGUGGCCUGCCGUCCCACUGUAGGGAUGUAAAUGUGAUGCCAUGGCCAGGCCUGGAGAAACCCCGAGACCUCCAGGGCAGGAUGCCCACCUUGGACAGUCAAGGGAAGAGAUGGGGGGCCCCAGAUCCUCAGCCCCACAGGGUCUUGGGCGGGUCCUAUCAGGACUUGUGUGUGAGAGAAAAAAACUCCAUCUGGCUUAAGCCAACACGUGGGGUCUUUUUGUCACAGCAGCAGCACCUGUACCCUGACUUAGGAUUCUGAGUGCCAGACUGGUGCUGUUCUGGAACAGAACCCAGGACAGAUCUGCAGUUGAAAUCAGAGACUUAAACUGGGCCAGCUCUGUUUUCUUCUCACGGCUUCUGGGAAAGGAAAACUUGAGAAGAAAACACAGCCAAUCUUGCUGAGCAUGGCUCCAGGUGCCUGGGAUCCAACCCAAACAUUCCAGGACCACGGGCAGCUCUGCCUGCACCCCUACCUCUUCCCGCCUGAAGUACUUGGGACAGGAUGGACACAGGAAGCCAGAGGGUGCGUCCAGGGUCAGCACGAACGUGAGCACUCUUAUUUUUCCAAACAUGUUAAGGCCCUUUGGCAUUUUCCGAUUUAAAAAACCCUACAGCCAAACAAAACAAAGAACCCAAAGCUCCUUCUCACUCCAAAGCACUUGUGGGCUAUGGUCACUCCACGCACACAUGGUGGACAAGCAGUCAGUUCCAUUUAGAAGCGUCCCCCCCAGGAGCACCCCUGGUUCUCAGGGGGGACAGGUGAGAUGCAAGGCACCCCACACUGCCCUCCCUGAGGUCCAGCCUGUGUCCCGGUUGGGGCGUGAGAACAGGCCAUAUCCUUAGCUUCCAUCAUGAGUGGCCACGCUGGGGACAGGCUCUGCCUCCCUGAGGCCCCUUUAGAGCCCCAUAUACUUGGUGCUCAGCAAAGCUGCAGCUGAAAGCCGGUGGCUUGGGCAAGGCUGGCCUUGGGUGUCAUAGGCCUCGACUGACUCACCUGCAAAGCAGGCUGGGAAGGCGUCUCUGGCCAGGACACGAAGGGUGGCCCACACUGGGUGCCUGGCCACACCGGUCUGG
rnacentral:lncRNA from 1 species